rnacentral:lncRNA from 1 species
GAGUUUUGAGUGAGUGGAGUAUGACAUCCAUCCAUGAGGUCAUGGUGGGCCACUUUUGUGGGAUUAAAGGAAAAAGGAAAAAAAAAGGGAAUGGUCCCAUCUCUCUCUCUCUCUCCAUCUUCAUCUUCAACCUUGGAACUUCUUGGACGUGGGGAGGGGAAAACCAAUCGAGAACCAGCAGCUCGCCAGCCCACACGCACGCCCCCUCCGCCACUCGCCGCCGCCGUUUGCACCGCCAAGCUGCUCGCCGUCCGCUCGCACCACCGGCCGCACCACCGUCGCCCUCUCUCCUCUCUUCUCCGGCUCCGGUUUCUGCUUGAAAACCCAGCAGAUCUGAGGAGGUGUCGAAGCUGGCUGUAGCCCAGCCGAAUCGCCGUCGGCCGUCGUCACUGAAGCUUGCCGCUACCACCGUCGUCCGCGCGAAGCCCGCGCCCGCGCGCCGCUCCGCUCGCUUCGCCCAGCUCGUCGUCCCGAGCUGCUGUUCAGCUCGCGCAAGAGCUGCCGAAGCUCGUUCGUCGCCGCCGUGCACCGCCGUUCGUCGCCGCCAGCCACCGCCAGCCACCGCCGUAGCUCCUCCGCCCACUCCCGACCCCAACCAGCCCCGGAUCUGCCCUCCUUCGCCCCCAACCAGCAGCAAGCAGAGAAGAAGAAAAUGGGUAUGGCAAGACCUAUUUGGCCGGUUUUGGCCGCCUUCCCGAGCCCGGAUGCUCGGCCCGCUUUGAGGAAAGUCGAUCCUCGCGUCGAUCCCGUCGUUUUGAUCCGCUCGGCUCGCUAAUCUGGUGAGUUUAGCUCACUAAAUCUUGAUUAGACGGUUAAUUAUGCCCUAAGUGUGCUUAGUUUAAGUUAAGCAAGUUUAGGUGGAUAUUUUAGUUUAUUUAAUUGUGAUUUGGAUUAAAAGGUUUGUUUAAUUUAAAGUGUGUUUAAUUAAAGGUUAAGAGAGUUUAUUUAAUAAUAAACCUUGAUGGGACAUAAUAGGGUUUUAUUUUUGAAUUAUUUAAUUGAAAUUAUUAAAAUAUUAUUAUUUAAAAAAAAAGGAAAAAUUAUUUUUGAUCCCGAUUGCUCAGAAUUUCGUGCCGAUCGCUGCUAUGCGUUCAGAUUUUGAAAUUGAUGGUUAGAUAUUAUAAAUUGGGUGUGGAUGACGAAAAUAUGGAUAUUAUUAUUUAAUUAAUUUUCGAAAUAAAUUUAAUUAUUUAUUAAAAUUCGAAAAUUUCGUCGGGACCCUAAACUCUCAGAAUUUCGUGCCGAUCGCUGCUGUGUAUUUAGAAUUUGAAUUUGAUGAUUGAUUGUGGCAAAUUGAGUGUGAUUGCGAUAGAUAGGGAUUCUUUAUAAAAUCCAAGUGUCGAAAUUGAUGGGAGGUUGGCCGUGAUGAACCACCUAUUAGAGGUCGUGCCCAGUGAGGCCGUGAUGAACCACCUAUGAGAUGUCGUGCCUAGUGAGGCCGUGAUGAACCACCUAUUAGAGGUCGUGCCCAGUGAGGCCGUGAUGAACCACCUAUGAGAGGUCGUGCCUAAUAGGGCCGUGAUGGACCACCUAUUAGAGGUCGUGCCCAGUGAGGCCUUGAUUAACCACCUAUUAGAGAUCGUGCUCAGUGAGGCCGUGAUGUACCACCUAGGAGAGGUCGUGCCCAGUGAGGCCGUGAUGGGGGCACCUAAUUAAAGGUCGUGCCGAGGGGGGCCGUGAUUGCCACUGGUUGUUAAACCUUCCUAUAGGGCCGUAAUUGAGAGCGAUGAUUGAUUUGCUAGAAUGACAUGUAAUCGGCCAAGUCGAUUGAUCGCUGAGACGAUCCAAGUGGUUGAAUUAUUCUGAUGAUGUGAUUGUGCCAUGGUUGUUUGGCUAUCAUAAUUGCACGUAGUUGAAUUAUAUAAAUUGUGUUAACCUGCAGAUGAAGGCUAAUGCGAGGUAAGUCUUCUGUGUGAUGUGGCUAGGCCACCCAGGGCGUAUUUUCUUUCUAAUAGGGGUUUAGGGGGUUUAACUUGCUGAAACAUCGUCUCAUCCCAGUUGUGGGAUUAAAAUUUCAGGUCCCUGGUGAACGGAGCGACCAGAUAGCUUUGGUUUGCCUUGAGGAGUUGCAGAGGUGAAGUCAUAAGAUUGGAGAAUGUGUCCGACUUGUAGGUCGUAGGACAAUUCCUUUUUAAGAGCCGGUCCUUUGUAGACUUUUAGCCGUAGACUUCUGUUUGUAAUUCUAUUGAAUUAUGAAAGUGUUAUGUUAUGG